rnacentral:rRNA from 1 species
AGCGAACGCUGGCGGCAGGCCUAAUACAUGCAAGUCGAGCGGUCCCUUCGGGGGCAGCGGCGGACGGGUGAGUAACGCGUGGGAACGUGCCCUUUGGUACGGAACAACUGAGGGAAACUUCAGCUAAUACCGUAUAUGCCCUUCGGGGGAAAGAUUUAUCGCCAUUGGAGCGGCCCGCGUUGGAUUAGGUAAUUGGUGAG